UCCAGGAAACAGUGAGUGUGGUCCUGGUGAGCCUGCACUGCAUGUAAGGAUCAGGCAGAGCCCAAAAGGAAGUUGGCCCCUGAUUAGUGACCAACGAGCUGAUCCUAGAGGGGCACUGGGGCUAUUUGUGAUUGACAAAGGAGACUGUUGCUGAUAAAGCUGACUGCUUGUUGCUGAUAAUGGCAUUGGCAUGACUUCUGGGUGAAUCCUGCCUCCCCAAAGGCUGUUGAAAGGUUGUACUCCCAAAGGUCAACAGACAGAAUGUCCCAUUCUCUGAAGAUGGGCCUCAGAACACUGCAUUUCAGGGGCUACUCAUGAUUCUGGGAGAAAUACCUGCUGAGGUGAUCAGCCAACUGCUUCUGGCUCCUGGGGCUCCAGGAUCGCCAGUGGCACCCUUACGAAGCUGAACUCAGGAGAUAGACAGACACAUUUUAACCAGCUUUGAAGUGGAUGAAGGCGCAAUCUCUCAGGGUGGACUAAAUAACUGCAUGUGCCCAGGCACACAGACUGAAGUUGAAUGACGAGAUUGGAAGGACAGACACAGAUGAUGAAUUGUUUGGAAUCGCUUGUGCAGGGGAAAAGCUCUCAAACUUGUAGAGUCUAGUAUGGCCCCGAUGAACUCCAUUUUUUUCUGUUCACUUUCCCCUGUUCAAAAUCAGUCCCAACAACUUGAUGAGAUUCAGCAUGAAGUGAAGUUUAAAGACUUGGUCUUCAAAUUUGCCCUCGCUAACCAAUCAUCCAGAACAGCUCAGCUGCCAGCAAAAGCAGGUGCUCUCCACCGUAUAUGAGCUCCAGAGGAAAUAUUUAGGAAAUGGAAAACCUGAUGCUUGGCAACAGAUCCUGUAAAGUUAUCUGGACGCUGCUUAUAACAAUUUUAGGCUAUACCAGCUGUCUGCCUGUGGGUGAUGAUUCUGUUUGCACAGCAGAGGAAGUUGCUAAGUACAGCAUACUCUUUGUAGGGAAAUGGAGUCAGGCUGCUUUCCCUAAGCAGUAUCCCCUUUAUAGGCCUCCAGCACAGUGGUCUUCCUUGCUAGGUGUUACCCAUAGUUCUGACUAUAACAUGUGGAAAAAGGAUGAAUAUGCCAGCAAUGGUGUGCGUGAUUUUGCUGAAAAGGGUGAAGCAUGGACAUUAAUGAAGGAAAUAGAAGCAGCUGGAGAAAAAAUUCAAAGUGUGCAUGGAAUCUUCUCAGCUCCUGCCAUUUCCAGUGGUACAGGACAAACCUUCACGGAAUUAGAAGCACAUUCAAGACACUCCUUAGUUUCUUUUAUUGUACGAAUUGUGCCCAGCCCUGAUUGGUUUGUGGGUGUUGACAGUCUAAAUCUAUGUGAAGGAGAUCAUUGGAAAGAACAAGAAACAGUAGAACUUUUUCCAUAUGAUGCUGGAACAGACAGUGGUUUCACAUUUUCCUCACCAAACUUUGCCACUAUUCCACAGGACACUGUUACAGAAAUCACUUGUUCCUCUCCAAGUCACCCAGCAAACUCAUUUUAUUAUCCCAAGCUAAAAAGUUUGCCACCUAUUGCUCGAGUAACCAUUGUAAAACUUAAAAGAAACCAGCUGGGUCUUCCUGGUCCUGAGCCUAACCUGACUGCUAUAGGCAAUGAAAUAGAUGACUCUGUCUCAGAAACACCACUGGACUGUGAGAUUUCACUGUGGUCUUCCUGGGGUCUUUGCAGAGGUACUUGUGGAAAGAUAGGGACCAAAACCAGAACUCGUUAUGUACGCCUUCAAGCUGCCAAUAAUGGAACUCCUUGUCCAAACCUGGAUGAAGAAAUAGAAUGUGAACCAGACAAUUGUGUCUGAAAUCUCCUUUCCAGUGGAAUAAAGAAUAGACAAUAAUUUAGAUCAUUUAAAUUAAGGACUCAGAUGAGGAUCCUGAUGAGUCCUGAAGAAAUUAGAACUUUUAUCAGCAUAGUACAUACUGGUCCUCCAAACACUGAAUAAACAAUUAAAACAAACACUUGGCUCCAGUCGAAUACAGCUAAGUAUUUUUAAAAAAACCCUAACUUUUGUCAUUUCUGGAUGUCUUGUAUUCUUCUGAUUGUCACUCUCCUGUCCUCCAUGCCUCCUCGUUUCACUUAUUCUUGUUUAUAACAUCUUUUUUUUUUCUCCACGUUCCUCCUGUGUCCACAUUCGUACAGGUUCAUUAGCGCUCAAAAAUCCUGAUUUUGGGGAGAAAAGAACUUUUCUCAGGUCUCUCCACAUUCUGUAUUAUGUUUGUCCUUUUCCAUUCUUUGUUUAUUUUCUAUACAGAAGUCUUCCUUAUUUUCUGUUUCGGGUUUUUUUUUUUAAUUUAACUGUAUAAAUACCUAGAUAAACAAUUACAUCCAGGGUAUAAGAACAACUUUAAAAUGUUUUAAAAUAUACACGUGAAGUAUGCUUUCUGCUUUUAUAUAUCCUGUUCCCUCGCUCCUUCCCCAAUCCAUUUUCAUUGCUCUUUGCCCCAUUCAUUUCAUGGCUGUGAGACAGCCAUGUUACUGCAAGGCAUGAAUUUAGCCUCCAGCAUCAUUCCUAUUAAUGGACAGAAUUUGAACUGUUGACUGAUAAAUGGCUAAAGGCUCUAAGUCCUAUUACUAGUCCAUGUUCCUGAACUGAUGAUAGAAUCCUAAGUGAAAACAUAAUAUGUGAUAGUUACAAACACUAGGAAUGAGAGGAUAAGGAGAAACUUGUAAUAUUUUCCACGUGAUCUCAUGACGACAGUUGUAACGUAUAACAACAUGAAAUAUAUAAUAAAGGCCAGAUUUUUCCAAGUACUCAGCACCUGCAAAUUGAGGCUGGUUUUUCAAAAGCACUCAACCACUGCUUCCAGUAUGGCAUUUAUGUAACCCCCUUGGGGUUGAGAGAGCUUGGCCCUUUAAAACCUUGUCCGGAGGCAGAGGGAGUGCUGAUUGUUGCAGCAAGAGGAAGUGUUGGUUAUUCCAGGGGUGUGGAGAGAGGUAGAGUGACAGGAUAGGUCUGUCUGUUGCUACAGAGAGAACGACUAUAAGAAGCAGGCCCUCACAUAGUGAAGCAACCGAGAAUCAGCCCGAAGCCUGGGAGGGACAGAAUGACCAACUAGGGACGCCCCAGGACAGGAGACAGGAGGAACACCAUGUUAAGGAGGAAUCACUUGAGAAGGACAAACCGGAUCUGGACUCAGUAUCACAGUUGCCCAGAGCUGGAUGGGGCCAUCAGGAUGAAGGAUAGUCCCUUGACACAGGAGGUGGGAAUCCUGAGAGGACAGAAGCGACUUUGUCUGUACAAAGUGCAAACUGGUCUCCAUAUUGGAAGAGAAUGUUCAAGGCCUGGAGAAACAAGUAUCAACCCUGCGUUGCAUAAGAGAAACUGAAGAUUUCCUGGACAGACGUCAGGAUAUGCUUCUACGGACACAACAUUCUGAAGAUUCAGAGUAGGCUGCGCAGCGGGGACAGAAGGACGGUGAAGAAAUUUGGCAGCAUGUGACCUCCAGAAGAAGAAAGGGGAGCGUCCAUGUACCAGCAACGCAGAUACAGGCUUUUGUGAGCAGUAAAUACAACAUCUGAAGAGGCUCUUAGAAGAAAGAGAUUAUGGACAGUGAGCAAUCAGUGGUUGUGACCUGCACAGGAUAUGCCAUGUUUGUCUUUCUCCCAGAGGAUAGAAGCAACUUCGUCUGUACGAAGUGCAAGCUGGUCUCCAUAUUGGAAGAGAAGGUUAAAGGACUAGAGACCCAAGUAUCGACCCUGCAUUGCCUCAGAGAAAAUGAAGAUUUUUUGGAUAGAAGUCGGCAUUUGGUAUUGCAGGCACAGCAUGCUGAAGAAUCUGAGAGGGCAGUGCAGAAAGGGGAAGAAAAUUGGCAGCAUGUGACCUCCAGAAGAUGAGGAGAACCCAUGUAUCUCCACUGCAGAUACAGGGGAAAGAGAGGAGAAAUGCAUAAUAGAAGACAUUCCAAGUGAUACCUUGAUUACUGGGAGUUACAAGGUACAGCAAUGGGACAUACAUGAACACAGGUUUCUUGAAUCUGCU